rnacentral:lncRNA from 1 species
UAUUGAGGAAGCUUGUUGAUCUUACGAUGCUGGAAGUCCUUGAAGGUUUUAGUUAAAAACAAUGGUGGAUUAGUCUCGUUUAGGAGGUGGGGAAGAGGCCCAAUGAUUUUGUCUGGUGGAGGCACGAAAAACACUGCCCAUGACAUACGUGUUUCGUCCUUGCUCACCAAGCUCCUGUGGAGAAGCUUUUGUAUCUUCCAUUGCUCAACACCUUCAACACAAAUCAAGCAAACUCGAAUGAAUGGAUCUUCCUUUGGGAGUUCUAACUAUGUCCAUAAGGUUACUGAUUGAUGUGAAGAAAUUUGCUGGAAAACUAUGCUGCAUGUCGAGAACUCUUUUUAUUUUUAUUUUUUAUUUUAAUAUUAUCUGCUAUUAGAAAAACGAAGAAAGAAAAAAAAAAUUGACGACAGUUGCCAUUAUUGAUCCUUGGCCUACAAUUGUAGACACUUAGGUAUCAAUCCAGGGGCGAGCUUAGAAGCCACAACUUCAUUUAUUCCAGCAUAGCGCUUCAUGAAUUUAAGAAAUGUAUAUAAUGAGACCAUCUACUUUUGGUAUAAGAAAGUCCUAUUUAUUAGGAAAAUAUAUAAUGAAAUUAUUUAUCCAAAAAAAAAAAGGUUAUAAUGACAUAGUCAUAAUUAAUUUUGACCGUUGGAUGUGAAAUUGAGAUGCUGCAUUUAUUUCAUUGACCAAGCUCAAUGUUCAAAAGAAAUUUUCACGGACUUUGUGAUACACCCAAAUUAUCAUAUUUCACAUUGGAUGGUUGUCAGUAAUUGUGAUCUCCAUAUCUUAAUGACAAAUUGUCUCAUUGUAUACCAUCCGUAUUUAUUAUUGGCUAUUAAAUGUGAAGUCAAUUGUUGAGGAUGUGUCAACUUCACACAAGCUGCAAAAUAAAAUUACUCGAAUGUUGUUUCCCAUUUCAAUCUGUCUGAUUUCAUAUUCCAAUGCCCAAUAUUGUAAAUACCAAAAGUGAAUAGUCUUACAAUACACUAUCCCUUAAGAAAAUGGGCUGCCCUUCCAAUAUAAGCUUUGCUUGGGCCUAAUAACGAUGUUCCGCUUCUACUUUAACGUAGUUUAAUUGAUGAUGUACAAAGGGAGCUACACUUCUCCCAAACAUGGUUUAGUUGAUGGAGGCCGAAUUUUGAAGUCAAGUUUCAAGAUCUUUCGUCCUUUGGGCAUUCCUUUAAAAAUUGUUUCAUGAGUCGUGGGACACAUUUCUAUAUUUGUGGCCCCAAGGUUUAAAACAUUCACUUUAAAGAUGGAUCCAAAUGGGCGGUCCAUCUACAAAUAGUUGAAACCAACGGUCCAAAUGUUUUUUUCAUAAAAACAUUAUUUUAAAUUUUUAAAAUUUAUUUAUUUUUCAAUUUCAUGAUCUCUAUGUUAGAGAUUACAUGUCCUUAACAAUUGGGUCCAAAAAUCCAUUUCAAAAAUAGAUUUUUUAAAAGGGCACUCAUUUCUACAAGAGUAAUAGAAACCGUGUCCUUAACAAAAUCAAAGUAAUCAUAAGUAGCAAGUAAUCCACCAAAAUAAAGUUAAUACAAGGGUAUGACACCCCAUUUUUCUCAAGAAUUUUAAUGCUGUCAGUGCCUUACUCAAUUAUAAUAAUUCCACGUCCAAUUUUUUUCAAGAACUUUAGUGCUUUCAAUGCGUGCCUCAAUUACAAUAUUUCCACGUCGACUAGUUUAAGUCUCUUUCAAUUGCUGGCAUUUAAACUAACGGUUAAAGCUUUCAUGAACUAUUUAACUUCGAAACUAUAAAAACUGUAAAACCGGUAUAAUACAUCUUACAUAUAUGUAUUUUUAUGGGAAAUGUUUUUAUAUGGCCAGGAUUUUAUAAUAAAAAACGUAAAGUCACACCUCAAAACCACGGCGAAAAUUACACUUUAACACAAAAAAAAACCCUCUUGGAUAUGAAGGGAAGAAAUAAAUUUCAAGCCCCAUAAAUAUUAAAUCUUGUGGCACAUUACCUGAAUUUGCUCAUUUGCAAGUGUGUGCUAUACUAUAUUUGAAGGUUAAAGUUUCAAAAUCAGAUAAAGUAAAUCUAAGGCCGUCAUGAGGUUCUGGUGCCCAAAUUGCCAUUUUACGAUAGGUGUGGCUGUAUUUAUUUUUACUGUGAAGCCUUGGCCUCGUGCUACACACACCCAUUACAUAAACCGGGGUUCAUAAACUCACACGUAACUGCAACCAUCACAUAAAACACUGUUCAUAAACUAACCUCGAGCCAGGUACUUGGUCUUGGCCCAAGGCGACUUAGGACUCACUCAAGAACCGUACGAGUCCAAAAGCUCUAGAAAAUUUUAAAUUAUACCAAAAAAUGGAAAAAUAUAGAAAAAUACAACAAAGGUCUAAAAGUUAAGUAAAACCAAAAGCAACAAAAAAGUAUAGGACAAAGGGUUUUAAAAACGGAAAAAAAUUAUGUAAGGUUGCAACCUGAAAAUGUAGAAUUAAAUAUGCACUUAAAAAAUCCAUUGGAUAGGAUUGUUUUUAGGUUGAAAAACCCUAUAAUUGAUCAUCUCGACAUUGAGACGUAUGAAUAUGGAAAAAAAAAAAAAGAUUUUGAGUACCAAAAAUAGUGCAUCUUGCAGACAUUAUCUAGACCGUCUAUUUUCAAGAGUUUCAUAUGUUUAUAGAUAUACUUGAUUUCAACCAUUUUUAGAAUUUAAAAUAUAAUAAUUAGAUAUAAAACUAGAUUUUCAGAUAAUCUUAAGAAUAUUUUACACCAAAAUUAUUUAUUAUGAUCAAAUUUGGAGGUGCGCCUUGAUUGGAUUGUUUAAGGUUGCAACCUUAUAGAAACCGCACCCUUUAAAAAAAUCAUUUAUCAUUGGGAACAUUUUAAAAAAUCCAAACACAGAAAAUUUAAAAAUACAGAUUAUCAUAAAAAAACGUUAGCCCAUAAUUGAAAAAAAAAUCCAAAUUAUAUAUAGAAAAAUUAUACAACAAUCCGGUCUUUCCUACUUAUUUUUAGAAUUUUUUCAAAAACUAUUUUUAUGGACCUUGAGUUGUACACAUAACUCGGGGCAACUUGGCCGUCUUAUAAGAUUAACAUAUAAACUAUAAAAUAGUCAUGCAUAUAAAAUUUGCUCUCUCACUCGCACCCAUAAAUAGGGUUGGCAAUGGCCCAGCCGACCCAAUAUCUAGAGAGAGCUUUCUGGGGAGAGAAAUAAUUUCCACUUCGAGAGAUUAAUAUAAUUAUUUGUUUGGUGUAAAGAGAAGACUCAUAUUAUUGUAUUUAUUUAGAGACAUAGGGAUACAAGUAGGGUUGGUUUUGUGCAAUGAGAGUAGGCAAUGCACUAAAAGAGAGUAUAGCAGGAUUGUAUGCGUGGAGAGAGCGAGAGUAGUAGAUUGAAUGUAUGAACAAAGAGAGUAAAAGGGCAUACGCUUUGGGGAAAGAGAGUAGGAUUUGUGCAAACAGCGAGCAGCAGGAUUCAUUAAGGAGAAGGAGAUAAAGGGAAACCUUUGGGAGAAGACAAACAAUUUGUGUUUGUGACGAAGCGCUUUGGGGGAAGAAAAAUGGCGUUUGGGUAUGUAACUAUAGUAGUAGCAUGGUUUUGAUGCUCGGCCGAGGCCACUCGGACUCGGUCGAGUAACUCGUCCUCCCUCCAAGUUAAAGCGAGUUGGUUGUACAACUUUAUAAACUAUAUUUAUAUUUGGGCAAGCUUUCUAUGCUUCCCCUACAACAUAAAACUUAUAUACACUUAUCCAACCGUCCAUUCUGAAUGGAGGGUUAAGAUUGCUGUAAAGAAAUCGUAGAAAGCUUGAUCUUAUAUUUAUAUGUCACAUUUAAGUUACAUAAGUUGUCAAAUCUCUCUGGUUAUUGUUUUCACGUAAGAGUUUGUAGAUUUUUAAUAGUGAGUUGGUUGUAAAACAACUUUAUAAAUUAUAUUUAUAUAUCACAUUUAAGCCACAUAAGUUGUUCUCACGGAAGAGUUUGUUGGUUGUACAACAACUUUAAAAACAGUAUUUAUAGUUAUAUUUAUAUGUCGUCUGGUUAUUACUUUUGCGUUUUGUAAAAACUUGUCUUUUUUUUAUUCAAAGGAGCUUUAAAAGUAUUAUUAGGACAUGAGGAAUUGAACCUAAAAACCCUCCAUUAUGGAGGCCGCCAAUGUCCCGAAAAAUAACCAACACAUCAUCAGUAUUUAAUAUUAAUAAACUUCGAACGAAACAUACAUACUAUGUUUUUUUCUUUAUUUUAGUUUUUUAAAAAAUGCACUUGACUCGGGUGAGUUAUUCAUACUUACCCGAGUAAAUAGUCUCGGCCAGGGCCCAAAUAUAUUGGCCGAGUUGAUUUUUUGAACACUGAGUAGUAGGAUUGGCUUUUUCAAGAGUGACACUAGUAUCAAUUGACUUUAUUUAGAGAGAGAAACUAUUAGGAUCAACUUUGCGGGUAGAGAGAGAAAAAUGGGGAUCACGUUGUAAAAAGAAAGAAAGAAAGAAAGAGAAUGAGAGAGCCGGUUUGUGGUUACGGAGAGAGUCAGAGUUUGGGAUUUACCAGAUAGGGAGAAUGAAUGUGGACGAGAGAGAUUAAAUUUAAGAGGUUGUUUGGAUACUUGUAAAUAUAUUUUCAUAAAUUUUUUUUAGGGAAGAUGGCGCCUUUCAGGGGUUUAGAUCCAAAUUUUGAAACGUAAAAGUAUUUCUGCCCUUAAUUAUUAUUUUUAUUUCAAGCCAAACAUAAAGAAAUCUUUAUCAUUGUCUUUUCCUUCUGAAUUUGAUUUAUAGUGAGAUUUCCUCGUUAUGGAGACGUCCACUUUAUAAAAUACAAUUAAUUCCACAAAAACACCCAUACGAAUUAGAGAGAGAAACUACCACAAAUUUUUUAUUUUCGACAGAGAAAUUUUUUUCGAAUUUUAGCGAGAGAAACUAUUCUUGAUUUUGAGCUUUAGAGAGAGAAAAUACUUUAAAUUUUUUAGAGAAAUUAUUUCAAAAUAUUUUUAGGGCAAGAAACUAUUUCAAAAUUUAAUUUUUUUAAAUUUUUUUUAGAAAGAAACUAUAUCAAAUUUUAGAGAGAGAAGUACCAAAAAACCUAUAGAGAGAACCUACCAAAAAACAUUUAUAAAGAAAAACUAUUUCAAAAUUUAAUUUUCAGAGAGAGAAAAUAUUUAAAAAACAUUUGAGAGAAAAUAUCUCAAAAAUUUUAAAGAGAGAAACUCUCAAAAUUUGGGUCAAGAAAUUAAUGACGCAGUUUUUGGUCUUGGGAGAGACAAAACCGCUGGACUUGAUGGCUUUCCCUUAGCCUUCUUUCAAAUAUUUUGAGAUCUCCUGAACGACGACUUGAUUCAAUUGUUGGAGGAAUUCUAUUUGAGAGGUAGAAUUAAGGUGGCAAUAAAUUCCACCUUCAUUACCCUUAUUCCAAAGAAAAAGGUAAUUGAGGAUGUGUAAGACAUCUGCCCAUCAACUUAUUGGGUAGUCUUUAUAAAAUCAUUUUAAAGACAUUUGCCAAUAGAUUACGAAAGGUGAUCCACUUGGUUAUUUGAGGUCCUCAAUUUGCUUUCCUAAAAGACCGAAAAAUUAUGGAUAGCAUUCUAGUAGCUCAAGAAUGUAUUCAUUUCAGGAUCAAAGAGAAGAAACCGGGUCUUCUUUGUAAAAUAGAUUUUGAAAAAUCCUAUGAUAAGGUGGAUUAGAAAGUGCUUCAAAGUAUCAUGGGCAGCAUGAGUUUUUGAUAGAGAUAAAGGAUAUGGAUUGAGGGGUGUUUUUCAUCUUCUUGCUUCUCAAUACUCAUGAAUGGUAAGGCAACUAGUUUCUUUAGGAGUUCUAAAGGCCUCAGACAAGGAGAUCCCCUAUCACUUUUUUUAUAUACAUUGGUGGCAGAAAGUGUCAGUUUUAUGCUAAGAGAUGUAUCUUCACAGGGUCUUAUUUCAGGCAUUAAGAUUGGGAACAAUGGUGUGACUGUAUCACACUUACAAUAUGCAAAUGACACUAUAAUGUUUUGCAACCCAAAUGUAAUGGAAAUCAGUAGAUUGUGGAUAUUUCUAAAGAGUGUUGAAAUCGCAACUGGGCUGAAAGUAAAUCUCUCUAAAACCAAGUUGAUCAGAAUUGGAUGUCCUCAAAUAUAGUGUCAAGGAUGGCUGGACUACUGGACUGCUUUUUGUGCAAAGCUAGCGACUGAUACGACAUAACAUUUAUUCCUCUAUUGCCUUUUCAUUUUUUAUCUUUGAAAUUGGGUUUGCCAAUAUUUUAACUUAUCCAUUCCAAUUCCAAAAUUUUCCAGGUUGCUUAUCACUCAAUAGUUAUCCCUUGGUAUUCCAAAGGUGGAUAAUAUAUUUUGGCAUUCUGUCUGGGUAAGUGUCCUUUGGGGUAUGUGGAAGGAGAGAAAUCAAAGAGUGUUUGAAGGAAUCUCUACUGAUUUUUCUAUGUUAAAAUUUAACAUUUUAGCCUCAACAACUUAUUGGUUUUCCUCUCACAAAGAUAGUGGCUCUACACCAAAGAGUCUUAUCCUUAACUACCCCUUAGCAGUCGCGACUUUGAGCAGCAUGUGAUCUAGUCGAAGAGCUGUUAUUUGGUCCCCACCUCCUCUAUACUCAACCAACAAUAGCUUUGGCAAUCUAAGAGCAGUUGGAUAUGGUGUAUUGAUUAGAAAUCAUUUGGGUCAUGUUUUCUGCUCAUAUUUAGGUCCGUGUGGUAUUCCUACUGCAAAUGAAGUGGAGGCUAGAGGUCUCCUAGAGGGUUUGAAACUUCUUUCACGGUGGGAAGGGCAAAAGAUUAUUGAAGGAGAUUCGGCAAAUGUCAUAGCAUGGAGCUAUGAAGAAUUCAAUGUUCCAUCGAGCCUUAAAGUAUUAUUUCAUGAGAUUACGAUCAUCAUUGCUUUCAUGAGCCGAAUGAGGAGGCAGAUGCCUUAGCCAAAGAAAGAGUAAACUGCACUUCUCUGAUUGUCAAUUUUUUUGUAAUUCAUCUUCUUUAUUUCUUGUAUGUCAUGUAUUUUGUAACUCUUUUUUAUUUAAUGGAAAUGUAGUGUUAAUGUUAAAAAGAAAAAAAAUAAAAAUUUAAGUAAUAGUAAAAGAAACCAUGACAAAAUUUAUAGAGAGAUAAACUAUCUCAAAUAUUAAGUUUUAUAAAGAGAAGUACUUGAAAAUUAUUGAGAGAGAGAAACUAUUUGAAAGUUUAACUUGUAUAAAGAGAAAGUACCAAAAACUAUAGAGAGGGAAACUAUCUCAAAUUUUAAGUUUUAUAAAGAGAAAGUACCUAGAAAUUAUAGAGAGAGAAACUAAUUAUAGAGAGAGAAACUAUCUCAAAAUUUAUAGGGAAGGAAGCUAUCUCAAAUUUUAAGUCUUAGAGAGAGAAACUAUCAAAUAUUUUAAGUUCUAGAGAAGAUAAAGUACUUAAUUAUUUUUUAAGAAAAACUAUCUCAAAUCUUAAGUUUUAGAGAGAAAGAGGCCCAAAAAUUUUUUAGGGAGAGAAACGAUCUCAAAAAUUUUAGAGAGAGAAACUACCUCAAAUUUUAUAUUUUAGAGAGAGAAACUAUCUCAAAUUUUUAGAGAAAAAAGCUAUCUCAAAUUUUAAAUUUUAAAAAAUGAGAGUACUUCAAAAUUUUUUACAGAGAAACUAUCACAAAAUUUUCAAAGAGAGAAGCUAUCUUAAAUUAUAAGUCACAGAGAGAGAAAUAAUCUCAAAUUUUAAGUCUUCAAGAGAGAAGACACUGAAAUUUUUUAGAAAGAGAAACUAUCUCAAAUUUUAAGUUCUGGAGAGAGAAAUUAUCUUUUAGAGAGAGAAACUACAUCAAAUUUUAGAGAUAGAAACUAUCUCAAAUAUUACGCUUUAGAGAGAGCAAGUACCUAACCGAUUUUAGAGAGAGAAAAUAUUUAAAAAAUUUUAGAGAAAAAAAUUGCAUCAAAAUUUUCACAGAAAAACUAUCUCAAAUUUUAUGCUUUAGAGAGAUAAUUAUUUGAAAUUUUUUAGAGAGAGAAACUACAUCUAAAUUUUAGAGAAAUAAACUAUGUUAAAUUUUAGAGAAAGAAACUACUUGAAAAAAAUUUGAAUGAAAAAAGUGACAUUAUAAUGAAUACUACAAUAAAUAUAUUUAACAAAUAAAGUAAAAAAAAAAAAGCCAUGAUAAUGUCAUGCAUCCGUGUACCAUCCAAACAACUAAUAUCUAUUUUAUAGAAAAUAUUUUUCUUAAAAUAUAUUUCAAUGAAAAAGGGUUUUUUUGAGGCAAUCUUUUUCCAUGGAUCCAAACGGCCCCUUAAGCCAAACACGAACCUAGCUGUCAACAUUAAACGUGUUGUAUGAACGAUUACAUACGGACCCUAAAAUUUUUCUACAAAAAAUGAAAUGCAGUAUUUAUAGGUAGAAAUUGCAUAGAAUGUCGGCCAACCCCCUUUUUUUGUUUUUCUCAAAAUUGCCCCUCGAUCCGAGGAUAUCCUCAAACAAAAUUUUAAAUUUCUUUUUUUUUUAGAUUUUUAUUUAGUAGGACACUCCCUUAAAGCAUGGAGCACUGCCCUACUAACGAAAAAGGUCAAAAAAAAAUCAAAGGAUUCCAUCCUCAGACCAAAAGGAAAUUUUUGAAUAAAAUAAAAAAAAUAGCUAAUAGACCUUCUUUGUGAUUAUUACCUAUAAGCAUUUCAUAUUUUAGAAACAAUUUUAGGGUUUGUAUGUAAAUAAAAAGAGGAUCUAACCGUUUAUAUGCCAUAGAGAGAGUGAACAUUAUAUUAUGACAUAUUUGAUGAGUAAUAAACAACUAAUUACUUGGAGCUCUAAGCAUUCUUAUUUACCCAAAACAAUACGUAUAGUUAUAAAUACCCCCCAAAAUAAAUUUUGAAGACAUCCUUAUCCCAAUGCUUUUAGUAUCACACCCUAGACCCAAUACUGUUUCUUCUUGUAUUCACCUUUAGUCAAAAGUAAAGAAACUAAAAACUAAAAUUUCAUUUCCCUUUCUUCCUCUACCUGUCCUCUCUUUUACUACCCAAACUCCCUCUCUCUCUACUCGCCCUCUCUUUCUGUACUCAAACUAUUCUCUCUACCCGCCUUUUUUCUCUCUCUCGACCCAAACUCCCUUUCUCUACCCACCCUCUCUCUUUCUUUACCUACCCCCCUCUCUUUUUCUCCCCAAGCUCCCUCGUUAUCUCUACCCCCUCUCUCUCUCUAUCUCUUUCUCUCUAGAAUAGUGUGGGCCCAUCCGUUGCGAUGUUGACUCGUGAAUCAAGUAAAGUGAAUGCUGGCUUUAGGGUACUUUUAAACUCAAUAUUUUUCUUUUCCGGAACGUUAAGUCUUAAAUUCAAUAUUUGAUAGAUAACCUUUGGUAAUAAGCAUGGUAAAUCUUGCUAGAACCAUUUGAUCAUGGCUGAUGAUCACGAAUCUCUAUCAAUUGAAACGGAUGUUCUCCUAUGCUGAUAUUGCCUCGGCGAAACUGAUGUUCUCCAUACGUCUACUUCCCGAUUUGCCUCGCUCUUAGUCAAUAAAGCAACCCUUCAUUACGCUAAACAACUUGGUUGUACAUCAACUUUAUAAACUAUAUUUAUAUUUGGGUGCGUUUUCUAUGUUUUUUCUACAACAUAAAACUUAUAUACUUUCCCUUAUCCGACUGUCCAUUCUGAAUGAAGGGCUAACUAAGAUUGCCUCAAUCACAAUGUCACGUUUCUAUGCUAUUUUAUUUUUAAAUAUUUUUCUAUAAAAUAUUUUUAAUUUUGUACAUCCAAUCCUCUAUUAAAUUUGCACUAGCAAAACAUAUAAAAAAAAAUAUUUUCAAUAAAAUAAAAUGACCAAAAUACCCCUUCAGGGUAUUUUGGUCAUUUUAUUUUAUCGAAAAAUUAUUUUUAAUAUUUUUUAUAGGUGAGCCUGAAUAAUAAGAUGGCACGUACCAAAUUUUUAGGAAAAUUUUUCUUUAUUUCCCCGACAAUAUAGAAAAUCUAUGCUCCUCCUACCAUCCAUCCGUCCAAUUUUGAUAAAGAGAGCCACUUACCGUUUGAUCUUAGAUCAGAUUUCUCAAAGUAUUUUAUAUUUAUUUUUUUAUACAAAUUCUAUGAGUAUGAAAUUUGGUAUGUGCCAUUUUCUCAUUCGGGCGCACCUAUAAACAAUAUUAUAAAUAAUUUUUCGAUAAAAUAUAAUGACCAAAAUACCCCUUGAAAAUUUUAGAGGUAUUUUGAUUAUUUUAUUUUAUUGGAAAUAGAUUUUUUUAUAUUUUUUGCUAGUACGAGUUUAAUAGGGGAUUGGACGACAAAAAUUUGGUUUCAAAAUAGUUUAUAGAAAAAAAAUAAAAAUAAAAUAGUGUAGAGACGUGAUAUUGUGAUUGGGGCAAUCUUAGUCCUCCAUUCAGAAUGAACAAUCGGAUGAGGAAAAAUAUAUAAACUUUAUAGGGGGAAGCAUAAAAAGCAUGCAUUUAUAUCUAUAUAUCAUAUUUAAGUCACAUAUGUUGUCAAGUCUCUCUCGUUAUUGUUUUCGCGCAAGAGUUUGCAGAUUUGGUAUAGUGAGUUGGUUGUAAAACAACUUUAUAACUUAUAUUUAUAUGUCACAUUUAAGCCACAUAAGUUGUUUUCACGUAAGAGUUUGCUUGCUGUAUUUAUAUUUAUAUGUCACAUUCAAGAUACAUAAGUUGUCAAGUCUCUCAGGUUAUUAUUUUUCGCAGACCAUCAGGAAUUGAACCUAUGAACCUACAACCACAAUUACAGAGGCCGCCAAUGUCCCAAAGCAUAACCAAUGGAAUUGAACCUAUGAACCUACAACCACUAUUACAGAGGCCGCCAAUGUUCCAAAGCAUAACCAACAUACCAUUGGUAUUUAAUAUUAAAAUAAGUUGUCAAGUCUCUCUGGUUAUUAUUUUUCGCAGGCGAUUAAGAAUUGAACCUACAACCACUAUUACAGAGGCCGCCAAUGUCCCAAAGCAUAACCAACAUUCCAUUAGUAUUUAAUAUUAAAAUAUGUUGUCAAGUCUCUCUGGUUAUUAUUUUCUGCAGGCCAUUAAGAAUUGAACCUACAAGCACUAUUAUUAACCAGCAUACCGUUAGUAUUUAACAUUGAAAAACCUCGCAACUCGCCCGAGUAAAUAACCUUGGCCGGGGUUGGAGUAUUUUGGCCAAGUCGAUUUUUUGAACAUUGAGUAGUAGGAUUGGCUUUUUCCAAAAUGAGACUAGUAGCAAUUGACUUUAUUUAGAUAGAGAAACUAUUAGGAUCAACAUUGUGGGUAGAGAGAGAGAGAAAAAUGGGGAUGACUAAAAAAACAAAAACAAAAAGAGAAUGAGAGAGCCUCUUUGUGGUUAAGGAGAGAGUCAGAGUUUUUGGAUUUACCUGAGAGGGAGAAAGAAUGUGCACGAGAUAAAGAGAUUUAGGAUACUUGCAAAUAUAUUUUCAGAAAGGUCUUUUCAGUGGAGAUGGUGUCUUUCAGGGUUUGGAUCCAAAAUUUGAGACUGAAAAGUAUUUCUGCCUUUAGUUAUUUUUCUUAUUUCAAGCCAAAAGUAAAGAAAUCUUUAGCGUUGCCUUUACCUUUUGAAAUUGAUUUCUAGUGAGAUUUCCCUGUUAUGGAGACGUCCACUUUGUAAAAUACAAUUAAUUCCACAAAAACACCAUCAUGAAUUCGAGAGAGAAACUACCUGAAAUUUUAUAUUUUAGAUAGAGAAAUUGUCUUCAAAUUUUAGAGCAAGAAACUAUUCUUGGUUUUAAGAUUUAGAGGGAGAAAAUACUUUAAAUUUUUUUGAGAAAUUAUUUCAAAAUAUUAUUAGGGAGAGAAACUAUUUCAAAAUUUAAGUAUUUUUUUAAAUAUUUUUUUAGAGAGAAACUACAUCAAAUUUUAGAGAGAGAAGUACCAAAAACCAAUAGAGAGAACCUACCUCAAAAAUUUUAGAAAGAGAAACUAUUUCAAAUUUUAAGUGUCAAAGGGAGAAGAUAUUUUAAAAAUUUUCGAAAUAAAAUAGCUCAAAUUUUUUAAAGAGAGAAACUCUCAAAUUUUAAAUAAAGAAAUUAAGGAGGCAGUUUUUUGUCAUGGGAGAGAUAGAGCCCCGGGACCUGAUGGUUUUCCCUUAGCCUUCUUUCAAACAUUUGGAGAUCUCCUGAAAGACCACUUGAUUCAAUUGUUGGAGCAAUUCUAUUGGAUAGGUAAAAUUAAUGUGGCAAUGAGUUCUACCUUCAUUGCCCUUAUUCCAAAGAAAAAGGUAAUAGAGGAUGUGUAAGACAUCUGCCCCAUUAGCUUAUUGGGUAGUCUUUAUAAAAUCAUUGCAAAGAUAUUUGCCAAUAGAUUACGAAGGUGAUCCACUUGGUUAUUUGAGAUCCUCAAUCUGCUUUCCUAAAAUAUAAACAAAUUAUGGAUAGCAUUUUAGUAGCUAAAGAAUGUAUUCAUUUCAGGAUCAAAGAAAAAAAAACCAGGUCUUUUUUGUAAGAUAGAUUUUGAAAAAGCCUAUGAUAAGGUGGAUUAGGACGUGCUUUAAAGUAUCAUGGGAAGCAUGGGUUUUAGAUAGAGAUAGAGUAUACGGAUUGAGGGUUGUCUUUCAUCUUCUCGCUCCUCAAUGCUCAUGAAUGGUAAGACAACCGGUUUCUUUAGGAGUUCUAGGGGCCUCAGACAAGGAGAUCCCCUAUCACUUUUCUUGUAUACAUUAGUGGCAAAAAGUUUCAGUGUUAUGCUAAGAGAUGUAUUUUAGCAAGAUCUUAUUUUAGGCAUUGAGGUUGGGAACAUUGGUGUGAUUGUAUCACACUUACAGUUUGCAUAUGGAAAUCAGUAGAUUAUGGAUAUUUCUAAAUAGUGUUGAAAUUGCAACUGGGUUGAAAGUAAAUAUCUCUAAACCAAGUUUAUCAGAAUUGGAUGUCCUCAAAACAUAGUGUCAAGGAUGGCUGGACUACUAGGAGGUGGUGUUGAGAAACUUCAUGUUCCACUUAAAGUUCAGUUGUUUCUAUAGAUGUUUUGUAAAGAAAAGCUGGCCAUUGUGGAUAACUUAAGGAAGAGAGGGUUCAUUGUACCCAAUGUCUGCCUUUUGUGCAAAGCUAGUGACUGAUACGACAUAACAUUUAUUCCUCUACUGCCCUUUCAUUUAUGAUCUUGGAAUUGGGUUCGACAAUAUUUUAACUUAUCCAUUCCAAUUCCAAAAGUUUGUAUACUUCUUAUCACUCAAUGGUUAUUCCCUGGUAUUCCAAAGGUGGAUAAUAUAUUUUAGCAUUCUUUCUGGGUAAGUGACCUUUGGGGUAUGUGGAAGGAGAGAAAUCAAAGAGUGUUUGAAGGAAUCUCUACUGAUUUUUCUAUGUUAAAAUCUAACAUUUUAGCCUCAACAAUAGAUUGGUUUUCCUCUCACAAAGAUAGUGGCUCUACACCAAAGAGUCUUAUCAUUAACUACCCCUUAGCAGUCGCGAAAUCUAGCCGAAAAGCUAUUGUUUUGUCCCCACCUCCUCUGUACUCAAUCAAAUUGAACUUUGAUGACAAUAGCUUUGGAAAUCUAGGAGCAGCUGGAUAUGGUGUGUUGAUUAGAAAUUAUUUGGGUCAUGUUUUUUGCUCAUAUUUAGGUCCGUGUGGUUUUGCUACUGCAAAUAAAGCGUAGGGUAUAGGUCUCCUGGAGGGUUUGAAACUUCUUUCACGGCGGGAAGGGCAAACAAUUUUUGAAGGAGAUUCGACAAAUGUCAUAGCUUGGAGCUAUGAAGAAUUCAAUGUUCCAUCGAGCUUUAAAGUAUUAUUUCAUGAGAUUAGGAACAUCUUUUCUUCGAUCAAUGCCAAUUUGUAUCAUUGCUUUCGUGAGCGAAUGAGGAGGCAGAUGCCUUAACCAAAUAAGGAGCAAACAACACUUCUUUGCUUGUCAAUUUUUUGUAAUUCUUCAUCUUCUUUACUUCAUGCAUGUUUUGUUUUUUGUAGCUCUUUUAAUGGAAAUGUUGUGUUAAUGUUGAAAAGAAAAAAAAUCAAAAUUUAAGUAAUAAUAAGAGAAACCAUGACAGUGUUUUAGAGAGAUAUACUAUCUCAAAUAUUAAGUUUUAUAAAGAGAAAGAACCUGAAAAUUAGUGAGAGAGAGAAACUAUCUGAAAGUAUAAUUUUUAUAAAGAUAAAGUACCAAAAUACUAUAGAGAGGGAAACUGUCUCAAAUUUUAAGUUUUAUAAAGAGAAAGUAUCUAAAAAUUAUAGAGAGAGAAACUAUCUCAAAAGUUUUUUGGAAAGAAGCUAUUUCAUAUUUUAAUUCUUAGAGAGAGAAACUAUAUAAUAUUUUAAGUUCUAGAGAGAUAAAGUACUUAAUUUUUUUUAAGAAACUAUCCUAAAUCUUAAGUUUUAGAGAGAGAGCAGCCCUAGAAAUAUUUAGGGAGAGAUACUAUUUUAAAAUAUUUAGACUGAUAAACUACCUCAAAUUUUAAGUUUUAGAGAGAUAAACUCUCUCAAAUUUUUAAAGAGAAAAACUAUCUCAAAUUUUAAAUUUUAGAAAAAGAGAGUACUUAAAAAAUAUUUAGAGAGAGAAACUAUCACAAAAUUUUCAAGGAGAGAAGCUAUCUCAAUUUAUAAGUCUUAGAGAGAGAAACUAUCUCAAAUUGUUUAGAGAGAGAAUUUAUCUCUAAUUUUAAUUUUUCAAAAGAGAAAGCACUAUGGAGAGAGAAAUUAUCUUAAAAUUUUAUAGGGAGAAACUACAUCAAAUUUUAGAGAGAGAAACCAUCUCCAAUAUUAAGCUUUAGAGAGAGCAAGUACCUAACUGAUUUUAGAGAGAGAAAAUAUUUCAAAAUUUUUAGAAAAAAAAUUACAUCAAAAUUUUAAGAGAGAAACUAUCUCAAAUUUUAAGUUUUAGAGAGAUAAAUUAAUUGAAAAUUUCUAGACAGAUAAACUACAUCUAAAUUUUAGAGAGAAAAACUACAUCAAAUUUUAAGUUUUAUAGAGAGAAAGUAUAUUAAAAUUUUAAAGAGAGAAACUAUAUUAAAUUUUAGAGAAAGAAACUACUUAAAGAAUUUUUGAAUAAAAAAGUGACAUUACAAUGAAUAUUAAAAUAAAUAAUAUUUAACAAAUAAAGUAAAAAAAAAAAACCAUGAAAAUGUCAUGCAUCCAUGUACCAUCCAAACAACUAAUAUCUAUUUUAUGGAAAAUAUUGUUCUUAAAAUAUAUUUCAAAAGAGAUUUUUUGAGGCAAUCUUUUUACAUGGAUCCAAACGGCCCCUUAAGCUGAAUGCAAACCUAGCUGUGUACAUUAAACAUGUUGUUUGAAGGAUUUAUAUACAGACCCUAAAAUUUUUCUAAAAAAAUGAAUUGCAGUACUUAUUGGUAGAAAUUACAAAGAAGGUCAACCAACCCACUUUUUUUAUUUUUUUCAAAAAUGUCCCUCGAUCUGAGAAUAUCCUCAUACCAAAUUUUAAUUUUCUUUUUUGUUUUAGAUUUUUAUUUAGUACGACACUACCCUAAAGCUUGGAGCACUGCCCUACUAACGAAAAAGCUAAAAAAAAUAAAAAUUCAAACUGAUGAUUCCAUCCUCAGACCAAAAGGUAAUUUUUAAAAAAUUAAAAAAAAGUACGCUAACGGAGUAAUAUCAAUCAGUCACUUUGAAAUAUCACCCUCAGGCACGGGCUGCAGAAACUUCUUAAAAUGCCCAAUGAUUAUGGUAAUUAAUUAGCUUUUAGCAUAGCGAGAAACUUAAAUUACAGUCUAAAAACCUAAGGUCAAAACCAAAUUUUCGAGCCCCAAUACGUACUUUACCUAGAGGCACAAAGAUAGUCUCAACCUAGUGGAAAACCCAAUGCCAUGGUCGUGCCAGUGCUUUUGUUUGCCGAAUGAAACCCACAAAAAGUGUACCCGGCCAUCAAAAUCCACUUGACUAUAUCGUACUAAUCCUAGACACUCAGCCCAUAUGAUGCAAUCGAGGGUGGAACAAAUAUACUUCAAUGACAGAACUGCGCUUAGUGAAACAUUCUUGGAGUCAUUGGGGGAUAACGCAGCCCUAGACAGUAUAUCUACAUUUUGAUGAGAAACUGAUAGGUGUUAAAUUAGAUUCAUAGGGAAAAAGUUCCAACCAAAACUGGUUCGAAAAACACUGAGAAAACUUGGCUAACCACCACGAAAACUCACGUGAGCAGAGUUUUGCUAUUUUAAGCAAAUAGGCGUCAAGUGUUCAAUAAAAAAUGGGGGUUUAUAUAGACUUGAAAUUCAAUUUUCAUCUAUAGUCAGUAGACACAGUGGAGCUGGUGAGAUUGGCUGAAACAGUAGGUACGUAUCAGAAAUAAUCAGAAGUUCAAGUGGGCGCCUAGGUUGGUUCCCCGGAGCCUAGGCGGGCACCCUGGGAUAUGCGCCUAGUUUAGCUGCCUAGGCCUGGGCGAUGCACCCAGGCCUUCUAGACUGUAUAGGUGUUGGGCGGCUUGCUUUUUAAACUAUGUGCAUGGAGCCUAUGUAAUCCCAGAGACUUGUCAAGGGUGCGUGUCACAGCCCCACCCCUACCCCCUGCAACACACGUUGGAGGGCGAUAGGGUGCAGAACUCUGACCACAUGUGACGAAUGCCACUCAGGUGGUAGUGUGCUCAACGCUUUGAAAAGAUGGAAAUCAAAGCCAAUCACGAAAUAAAAACCAAAUUAAUAAGCACACAACCCACAAAAUACUAGACAAUCCCAGUCUCAAAAUUUCAUAAGAUAGAUCCAAAAUAUUACAAAAGAGUCCAAGGCACCAAAGGCCCAACAACAAUACAUAGUUCCAAUACUAGCAGACUAUGUGGCCAAAAUGCGAUCCAUCACAUACAAUUGAAAAGUGACUUCCACAAGAAUUACGGGACUCCGACCCCCAGUCGUGAUCACCAAACCACAAGUCCACAACCUGCGGCUAUCACUCUAUAGAGAUGAAAAUUAAAGGGAUGAGCUGUAAAGCCUAGUAAGUAGAUCAUGGUGCCAUGCUUUCCUGCUUAUGAAUAUCAUCUCACAACAAUGCUCAAAGUGUUAUGCCAUUCUUAUAAAACAUGAGUCGUAUGUCAUAAUCAUAUCUAUCAGUGUGCCGUGCAUGAUUCAUAGUGAAGCAAUAACAAAUCAGAUCAAUCAUAUAUGAUAAGAACCAUAGGUCAAUCAAAUCAUUCAACCAUACAAAUCUUAGCAAACCAAUAUAUUAAGGUAAGCAUCAACAAUUACCAAGUAUCUCAUUCCAUAAUUCGCCUACUUUCGAAGUAGAAGUUCUAUCCAUCAGGCUAAGCCAAUCCCAUUUCUUAGGACUUCUAUCAUCACUCAGAAUGGAAAACAAUGACAAAUGGGGGAAUCCAUUUCGUAAUGUUUUCACAUACACACACAUAAACACACACAGUCCCCAGCGUACUUUGGGGCUUUUGAUUGGCAAUGACCUUGUAAGACACUACCCUUUACGCUUUUGCAUGCUAAUCACUAUUAAUGGGGGAGCGACCAUUCAAACAUAAUCUACCCUAACCCCCGUCCUUUCAUUGCGCGAGCCAAAGAGGUCACUAGUCGGGGCCUGAUUUUCUCUGAUUCCCUCGCGCGUGGACACAGGGAGAAGAACCUCUCUCAAACAACCGCCGAAGGGUUGCACGCGUGGCACGUUAGCUUUCUAAAGCACGGAUAGGCUACAAACAAAGAGAGAGAUUUUACGACGGGGAAGGGUUGAUUCACUUACCUCGUCAUUGUAGGUUCAUGGCACACGUCUAGGCAGCUUGCCCUCUUAGAUUAGUUACGAAAGCCCUCUGGCUGUUCACAAGAGCGGUUUAGUCUGGGACUCUCUUCAAACGCUACGACCCUCUUCUCUCCCCUCGAGUCUAAGUUCAGAUGGAUGUCUCAAUUCAUCGUGCCAGGGUUGACUUCUAUUUUUGUUGAUCGAACAAAAGAGUGGGGAGUUUUAUCAUUCCCAUCGCGGUGUCCAAACGAGGAAGGGGAAUUAGACAUGGACGCGCGUCGGUUUGGACCUCUUCUGGUUUUCUCGGACCCGCGCAGUCUCGGAUGUGUGGGAGAUUACGCGGGUGGGAGAAGAAGAGAGAAAGCUUCGGAAGCUAUAAACGUUUUUAGGAAGAUAAAAGUGUGUGCCCGCAUGGUCGCGGGUAUUUUCCUCUCUUGCAAGAUUUUUCUCUCUCCUCUCCUUGGGACGUUAGGGCUAAGAGAAAUGAUAAGAAGAAUCAUGCGUAAUGCCUCUUCUUUAUUGAAUUAUCCUCCAUUUUACAAUUGACUAAAGACUGUUUAUAUAGAGUUUUCUACAAACAGUGGUGGAUACUAAAAAACAAAACCUAAAUACAAUUAAAAGUUAUUAAAAUAAUGUCCUGAAAUUGGGUACAAUAACCAAAAUGCCCUUAAGCUCUUUUACACAUAUGACAAACUUGUCCUUCUCUGAGGAGCCCACCGCCAUUGUCAAAACCUUAAGAGCUCUUACUGGGAAUUUGUAGCAUCAGUUUGGUUGAUCUUUUGUUGUAUUCUUGUCAUUUGUUUCCUCGUGAUCGUUUUGAUGUCUUUUGAUCGUGUUGCGGCAAUCCUUUUUGUGUGGGAAGGAGCCUGGUCAGUUUUGUGGGUUCUUUUGACGACUUCGUUCUUCUUGAUUCGCAGCAUCUCAACAAUUCAGGGAAAGGUUUUCUUCAAGUGGUCUUCUUUGCAAAAUGUUUUUAAUCUGAUUUUUGUUUUUCUUGGACUUUUGGUGGAUCGUCGGAAAAGGGAUUUUCGACGAUGGGGAUUUCCUUGCUUUUAUUGUCAUGACCUUGGGUUUCUUUGCUUUUUUUUUUUUUUGCUUUGAAUGGUGCUCGUCCUGUCUUGGCUUGAUUUUUUCUUCCUGGAAGUGUUUCUUCUUUAGUUUUUUAUCAGCCUAAUUUCUCUUCUGUGAGGGUAAAGAUAUCCUUCUGAAGAUUCUGGAGUUCUUGGAUUCAGGCCGUUUUUUCCUUCUUUUUCGUUGAGGAGACUUGUCAUCUUCAUGUUGUUCGUCUAGAGAGAGAAAUGCCAUUGAAGGUUCAUGGGCAUCUGGGGCCUUGGCUUCUUUUCUACUGCAGGAAAGGAGUUGCGAGCUCGCCGAGGAGCGGCCAGAGAUCGCCAUGACUGUCAACUGUUCAGUGAGGCCAUACGGUGGAAGACGUACCUCCGCCCUACUUCGCGAUCGUUCUGGCGUAGGGCCACUGGGUCGAUCCGUUUGAGCCCGGGCCUUUGAAUAGAUGGCAGAAGAGCCCUUAGCAAGUGCAUGAGCUGCUUCGUUGGAGUUUUGGGGAUGGUUUUUGAUUGGUCAGGGAUACCUCUUUCCCUUUCCGAUCGUAUCGGGUCUAGUUGGGGGCUUUUGUGUGGCCUAUCCCGAAUAGUCUGAACUAGUUGAUAGGAAGGGUUUUCGAGGCGGACUCUUUGGCGAGACUUCACCAUGAGUUUUUGACGGGUGUUGUGUUCCUCCUGGCUUGAAUGUCGUGUGCCUUCGGUCGCGUCCUCAACUUGUCGGCGUGAAUUUUUUUCUUUCCUAGUUUCUUUUUUCUUCUUUUGGACCUUGUUUGGGGUGGCACUAGGCCUCAGGUCUUCUUCUGGGGGCGCUAAGGUCGGAAUUUUUUUUUGUGAGGGGUGGCACUGAGGUCGGAAUUUUGUCUUUUGGGGUGGUGUUGAGACUGAAACUUUGUUUGGAGGGUGGCGUUGUGGCCGAAUGUUCUUUCUGAGGGUUGCGUUGUGGCCGUAAUUUUGUUUUGAGGGUGACGUUGUGGCCGCAAUUUUGUUUUGAGGGUGGCUAUGUGGCCAGAAUUUUGUUUUACGGGGUAGUGCUAUGGUCGGAACUUUGUUUUAAGGGGUGGUGUCACGACCUCGGCCCCUGGCCCCUGGCCCCUGCAGGAGGGAGAAAGAUAGCGGGAUCACGAGCAGAGGUCGCAAACGUCACUCGGGUAGGAGUUACUCAACCGAUAAAAACACGAAAUCAAGAGAAAAUCAAGAAAGAAAAACUAGAAUAAAUCCAUUCAACAGACAAGAUAAAAUCAAAGCUACAUCCAUCUCAAUCAUAUCUGAAGAUGGCAAAUAACUUACAGUUAUUUCAUUAUUUCCAAUAAUAUCAUAAAUAUAGUGAUAAUCAAUUUCAAUGUGCUUACCCUUGGAAUUAUAAGCUUCAUUUCUAAUUGAUGAAAUAGCAACCUGAUUAUCACAAAAAAAUUUAAUAGGUCUGUCGGUUAUAUCCAGCUUCAACUCAUUUAUGAAGCGUUUAAUCCAAACGGCAUAAGUUGUAGCAAUGUUACAAGCAAUAUACUCGGCUUCCAUAGUAUACCGAGCUACACAACCUUUUUUCUUACUAGACCAAGAAACACAUCCACCUUCAAAGAGAAAUACAAUUCCUGAGGUUGAUUUUCUGUCAUCUGGGUCUCCUGCAAAAUCUGCAUCAGAGUACCCAGUAACUUCUAAGUUGUCUGCUUGGAAGCACAACUUGUAAUUUUUAGUUUUUUUGAACGUAUCUGAGUAUAAUUUUUACUGCUUGCCAAUGAGCCAUCCCAGGAUUACUCUGAAAUCNNNNNNNNNNNNNNNNNNNNCAGGUCUUGUACACAACAUGGCAUAAUUUAUGCAUUCUACAGCUUGAGCAUAUGGAAUUCUUUCCAGUUCAACUUUGUAUGGACUCAUUUUCUUUGAUAACUUCAAGCCUUUACAAACAGGUGUAUCUAUGGGCUUGCAAUUUUUCAUCUUAAAUCUCUUUAAAACACUUUCUAAAUAAUUUUCUUGAGAUAAAGAUAGAAGUCUUGAACUUCUAUCUCUUGUUAUCUUAAUGCCCAUUGCAUAUGAGGUUUCUCCCAUAUCUUUCAUCUCAAAAUGAGAACUAGCCAUGAUUUGGUGUGGUUAAUCAUGUCAAUAUCAUUACCGGCUAUCAAAAUAUCAUCCACAUAUAGUGACAAUAUAACAAAAUUUCUCCCACUAUUGCAGACAUAUACACGAUGGUCUAACCUAUUGGCUAUUUAACCAAUUUCAAUGAUUGCAUUAUGAAAAGUAAAGUACUAUUGCCUAGAAGACUGUUUUAGACCAUAUAAAGAUUUCUUAAGUUUAUAUACUUUGUCUUCUUGCCCUUCAAUUACAUAUCCUUCUGGUUGUUUCAUGUAUAUAUCUUCUUUUAAUUCUUCAUUUAAGAAAGUUGUUUUGAAAUACAUCUGAAAUAAUUCUAGGUCAUAAUAUGCAACUAAUGCAAAUUUGAUCCUAAUAGAUGAAAAUUUUGCUACUGGAGAAUAAGUUUCUACAUAAUCUAUGCCCUCCCUUUAGGUAAAUCCUUUAGUUACCAACCUAGCUUUAUUUUUAUCAAUGGAUCCAUUUGCUUUAAGCUUUUUCUUUAGCACCCAUUUGCAACCAAUGGCUUUUCUAUCUUUAGAGAGGUCAACUAACUCCCAGACUUAAUUUCUUUUAAAAGAAUCAACUUCAUCAUCCAUGGCUUGAAUCCACUCAGCUGAGUCAUGUGAGCUAAUAGCUUCACUGUAGCUACGAUGUUCAUCUAUUGUAUCAUCACUCAUUGAAAAGUAAUUAUCUUCAUUCAUAAAUACAUAAAAUUCUUCUAAAGUCGUAGGUGGGGCUCUAGUUCUUUUAGGCCUAUCUGAUAUACUUGAUUCAAUUGAAUCAUUCUCAUCAAAUAUAGAGGGAGUCUGAGAAACAGGGUCUUCCAGACCUUUAUAUUUAUCAAUUUCAUGUAAGUCAAUAAGCUUAUUUAAAAGAUUUUCAUCAUUUAUAUUUUUUAAAAAAUGAGCAUCAAGACUCUCUACUAAAGAUCUAGUAUCAUGGUUAUAGAAUCUAUACCGUCUAGAAUUUUCUGAAUAGCCUAUAAAAGAGCAUUUUAUAAUUUUACUUUGUAAUUUAUCUCUAUUUUGUGGUCGUAUAAGCACAUGUACCCAAGAACCCCAAACUUUCAAGAUAAUAAGGUCAGGUUUCCUACCUGUCCAUAAUUCAUAUCGGGUCAAGUCUAUAGAUUUAGUUGAAACACGAUUAAUGAUAUAUAUUGCAGUGUUAAGAGCCGAACCCCAAAAAUGAGGUGAUAAAUUUGAAUGGCUCAUCAUCGACCUAACCAUGUCCAUUAGAGUUCUUUUUCUUCUUUCUGCUACACUAUUUUGUUGUGGUGUAUAUGGCACGGUUGUUUGGUAUAUAGGGCAUAGUUGUUUGGUGAAUUAUACCAUGCUCCUUACAAAAUUCAAAAAAUAAGGAGGAGCAAUAUUCACCUCUCCUAUUUGUUCAAAUAAUUUUAAUAUGUUUACCUAACUGAUUUUCUACCUCAGCUUUAUAUUCUUUAAAUGUUUCUUAUGCAUCUGAUUUCUUAAUAAUUAGGUAUACAUAUUCAUAAAAUGAAGAAUCGUCUAUAAAUGUUAUGAAAUAUUCCAUACCUCGAUGUGUUUUCAUAUUUAAUGGGCCACAUAUAUCAGAGUGAACAAUACUAAGUCGUUCACUAGACCAUUUCCCUUUAGGGAAAGAGUUUUUAGUAAAUUUACCAGAAAUACAUGGCGCGCAUAUUUUGAACACAAUUUCUCCUAAAUUGGAGAGCAAGCCUCUUUUAACCAUUUCAUUCAUUUUGCCUUUAUUUAUAUGUCUUAAUCUUAAGUGCCAUAAAUAUGGAUCAUCUAUACACAUAAAAUCAUCAAAAGAAGCAUCAAUAUAACCAGAAAAUGAUGAACUUUCAUUAGUGUUCAGUCGGUACAAAUUGUCAACUUUAGUACCGUACACCAAAGCUCUAAAAUGCUUCCUAAUGGUAACCCGACCAGACUUGAACCUUAUUUCAUAACCCUUGUUGUCUAGCCUUGGGACAUAAAUCAAAUUGCACCUCAUAUUGGGCGUAUACAAUGUAUCAGUCAAUAAGAGAUCUGGUAAAAAUAGCUUGAAAGUACCAACACCUAGUACAUUGUAGUAGGUGUCAUAUAAAUCUGCUAGUUACCGGCUGUACUCUCUUUCAAUUUUGUGAAUCCAUCCUUGGUCCUCGAGACAUGUCGAGUGGAUGCUGAGUCGACCCACCAAUUUCUCAGGUCAUGAUCAGCAACUAUUGAUUCUAGGACUACGCAGAUCAUGUCUUUUCUCUUAUUUUGAUUGUUUCGAACAUGGUUGUUAUUUCGGUUCCUAUUUUUAUUUUUCAACUUAAGACAAUUAAACUUGAUGUGCCCAAUUUCCUUACAAUAAAAACAGGUCUUCUCAACUUUAUUCUUUUGAUUUUUAAAAUUUUUCCUCUUUCCCGUAUACCUAUUUUUUUUUUUUAUAAUUGAAAGGUUUCUUGAGAAUCUGAGAAGAUGAACUUUGGGCAAAGUGGAGCUCAUUUGACUUCUUCCUCAUUCUUCUUUCAGCUUCAAUACUAAGAUGCAUGGGAAGAUUUAACAUGGUUAUCCCUUGUGCAGAAUAGUUGAAUACAAUUACAACAGACUCCCAAGAUGAAGGGAGAUUGUUAAGGACACUGGACACUUGCAUGUGAUCGGAGACUGGAUUCGCAGCUGCAGCAAGGUCCUUUCCGAGCACUAUCAUUUUAUUUACAUGCUCAGUCACUGAGUCUAUUUCUUUCAUUCUGUAAGAAUAAUAUUUUUUUAGCAACAAUUGUACAUGGGUCUCAACAGUGGUCAGAUAAGGUACCUAUCAUACUUUGAGCUGUGGUGUAAUCCUCAAAGACUCUAUUUAAAUCAUCUUCCAUAACGCUCAACAGAGUAGUUCUAGCUAUUUUGUCAUCUUCUAACCAUUUUUCAUGUCGUCUUCUGGCUUGACGACUUGUCAUCUUCUAACCAUUUUUCUGGCUUGAAAAAGAAUAUAUCCAAUUUUUCUUUUGCACAUAGAAAAAUUGGUCCCAUUGAGUUUUUCAACUUUGGAGAAUUCUGACAUUACUAGCUUGGAUGCCAUUUUAAAUUUUUGGAUAAUACUUAAAAGUUCAAAAACAAAUUUAAUUGUGUUUAAGAAAUGGUCUACUAGCUAAAUCAAUAAGUUUGCCGACUCUCAGUGAGCUGCAACUUCAAAGAAAAUUUUCUCGAACAGUUUAAGUUCGCACUGCUGUAAUGCAAUAAAAAAUUAGGGCAUUAACUACUUUUAUGUCAAAUCUUGCAUCAGAAUAAUUUUCAUAAAUAUGUGAGUAUGUCUUAGCACAAGAUAGGGACUCUACAAUGAUAUUUGAUAUUUUUCAACAAAAAACAUGAAAAAAAAAAAAAUCACAAAAUCAAGAUCAUGAAAUUUUCUAACUUAAAGAGACCAAAGCAUAGGAUAAUUAUGCAAUGCAGUGAUAAUUAUUAUGCAAAAAAAAUAUGUCGAAAAUUCCUAAAUUAUAGGUCACAAAAAAAAUAAAAAUAAAUAAAUACAUGCAAUUGACAUGUAAGCCUUUACUCCAAUAGAAUUGGCGCGUGCAUAAUAAGAUUCAAUCAUAAAAAACAAAUAUGCACUAAUUUUCAGCAACAAAAAGAUGGAAGAAAGAAGAUGCUAGCCGCCUGAUUUUCAACAGUCCAUGGUCAGUAAAAAGUAUGUAACAAUACACAAAUUUAGAUGCUCAGCUACCGUGCAUAGAGUAGAAUAAUUUUUUUAUUUUUUUUGGACAGUCUUUACAAAUUACUAUUAUUAUUAUUAAUUUUAUUAGAAAAUAGAGAGAAGAAUUAUUUGCCUUAUUUUCUGUUACUUGAUCAUGAGCUCAAGUAUGUACUGUAUCAACAACUGGAUCUUAUAGAGAGAGAAUAACUACACAACUUGAUCUUAUGGAGAGAGAAUAACUACACAACUUCUUCCUACUUUAGAGAGAGAGCCUAAUAUUGAGGUGUAGAGAGAGAACAUAAUAUUGAGGCGUGUGAUAAGUCAAGAUAACUCUUUUACAACAUCUUUAAACUUAUUUUCUCUCUCUUCCUAUUCUUUUGAUGAUUCGUCAAGCGUCAAUAUCUCUUUAACUUCUCUCUACAAAAGAUUAAACAGAGGACUUAUUCGAGUACGCUAUGAUCACAUAAGCCAAAUGCAAUCUAGAGAGAGAAAAUAUGGCAAACGAAUUUACGGAGAGAAAAUAUUUCAGAACCAACAAUACCAGUAAAAACAAACACUGAAUCGCAAAUGAGAAGCAAAAAAUUAAGAGAGAGAAAUUCAUUAAAAAAAAAAAAAUCAGACUACUAAAUUUAAGGUUAGAAAAAAUUUAUAGCAAGAUAUAAGUGAAUGACAAAGCACAAUAUCAAAGUUACUGUAAAUUAAACUUAGGAAAAAAAUAAGAUAUAAAAUACCAAAAAAAAUUGGGACCUAUAGGUUAUGAGCCCACCACCCUUCCACAACCUGCUCUGAUACCAAUGUUGAAAAACUUGAGGGAAGAGAUGGACCCACUCCUAUGGUUAGGGGCAGUGUCUUGAGACUAUCGAUCGCAAAGAUCAGGCUCUUACCAAAAUUUUGAGAACUUUGUAAAUUUCUGGAAAGAGACUAGCCAUAAGCAUUUCAUUGCAAUUACAUGAAUGUGAAGCAUAAUCACGUUAAACGAUACUAUCUGGCAAUUGUGCUAUGACCGAAGGGUUUGUUAUUGAAAUGCAACAGCUCAAAGGAUUUUAAGUGCCCCAUCUAUCGCAUUAGAGAAAAACUGAUUCUAUGGUGCAGGCAUACAAAAUCUAAAAUGAUUCUGACGGUCCCACCGCGCCUCAACAUUAGCUAGCACUGAUCACACUGUGUCCAUUGUUCAUUGGGCACAUAAUUUUUGGACUGUGAGUUUAACUUAUAUUCAUCUAAUAUUUAUAUUCCACAAAGUAGUAACUAAACUUCAGCCAUAAAACUAAAUAAAAACUUAUUAAAUUGAGGUUGUGCUUAACAUUGUCUACCGACAGCUUUAAUUUUGAGGUGCAAUGAUGUUUAUGAUGCAACAUUUGCAUCAAUUGGUGUACAAAUGUAUCUCUAUCUAAGACGCUUCUCUCCCUCAUCAAUAAAACUCUCUCUCAUAACUCUCUCUCUCUCUCUCUCUCUCUCUCUCUCUCUCUCUCUCUCUCUCNNNNNNNNNNNNNNNNNNNNNNNNNNNNNNNNNNNNNNNNNNNNNNNNNNNNNNNNNNNNNNNNNNNNNNNNNNNNNNNNNNNNNNNNNNNNNNNNNNNNNNNNNNNNNNNNNNNNNNNNNNNNNNNNNNNNNNNNNNNNNNNNNNNNNNNNNNNNNNNNNNNNNNNNNNNNNNNNNNNNNNNNNNNNNNNNNNNNNNNNNNNNNNNNNNNNNNNNNNNNNNNNNNNNNNNNNNNNNNNNNNNNNNNNNNNNNNNNNNNNNNNNNNNNNNNNNNNNNNNNNNNNNNNNNNNNNNNACUCACUAAACUAACUCUCUCACUAACUACUCUCUCUCUCUCUCUCUCUCUCUCUCUCUCUCUUUCAAUCCAACGUACUUUACUUUCAAUUGAUAUUGUAUUCCAAAAAAUAAUACUCUACAAAUUAAUAAAAAAUAAACAAUGUCUAGGUCUCAAUUUUAACAUUUACGUAUUGCUUAUUACUUAAAGCUAAUCCAAUACAGAUACCAAGUUCUUCUUUAACUUCCCAUGAGCUUAUCAAAUACAAAAACCAUGAACUUCUUAAUUUCCCUUAUCAAACACAGAAACCAGGAACUUCUUAACUUCCCAGAGAUGUUAUCCAACACAGAAACUAGGAACUUCUUUAGGAACUUCAAAUUUAUAGUUCUUCAGGAACUUCCAAUUUAUAGUUCAGAAACUUGCUUUCAGUUAUCAAACAGGCCCAAAUGGAUUCCAAAAUUUGACUUACAAAAAAAAGGAAAUAUUAUAAAAAAAACAAGUCAAAUACUCAAAAAUACUUAUGACUAAAAUGCCCUCUCCUCUCUCCUCGCUCCUCUCUCCUUCUCUACCCACCCUCUCUAUCGCGCACUCUCUUCAUAAUUCGCCAGUUUUCUCUCUUUUCGACUUACCUUACUGGCCAGAAAUAUAAUAGCAUGGGUGUUUUUCCCGCAUCCAAUAUCCCCACUCUUGGGGUACAGAGCACCAUUCCUGGCAAAUCAGCUGGUUACCCUACAACAGUGUCCCAUUUCCUUCCAAAAAUAAGAAGCCCAUUGAUUUUCAGGCUAAGAGGUCCCAGUUUCCUACCAAAUUCAGAAACCCACAUAUGUUACGGCAAGAAAUAGAAACCCUAGUGCAAGAAAUAGAAACCCCGUCAUUUUUGGGCAACGAAAGUUCCCUUUUUCAGCCAACCUAUUGAUUUUCUUGUUUUUCUGGCUUCCCAAGUCUGGUUUUCGAUCAUAUAUUGUCCCCAAGGCCCCCAUUUGGUUGAAACAAACUUAAAAAUUUUGAGGCGUGCUAUUUUCUUCUAAUUGAGGACUGGUAAUAUUCAUAUGAGAACGGGAUUCUGCUAAAUUGAGGCCAGAAGACUUGGAGUGAAGCUAGUUCUAGAGAGAGAAAGGGGAUGUACUGUAGUAAGAUGCAGAGAUGUUGAUUGUAGUGAGUGGAAAUUAAUGGAGACCAGUGGGUAGAGAGAGAAAGAGAGAGGGUGGAUAGAAUUGUCCAUAAAAUCGCCCCGUCUAACCGCUAACCGCACGGUUAGAUCGGAACCAGCCAUUGCCCGGUUAGGGUGAUCAAUCGGUAUUAAAAAAAUAAAAAUUCAAAACAAUUUAUGUAAUUUAUCAAAAAUAAAGAAUUUGAUUUGUAAGGCAUUUUUAAAUAUUAUUUAUAUUAUAGUAAUAAUUAAAAAUUGUUUUGGUCAUUAAUACUCACUUUUAUAUUUUCCCAUCUUUUUUAGAAAAUUUAAAAAAUAGCUCUUGGAAAAUAUAGAAUCGGUUUAAAUCCAUUUUUUUCAUCAAUUUUCAACUUCAUUUGAAUGUGUUUUGUUUCAAUCAUUGUUUAUAUGCUUUUCAUAUUUUAGUAGAUUUUUUAAUUUUGUUUUAUUUUUUUAACACUUUUUUGGAUCGUCCGCCCGGUUAAAGCUGUUGAAUUGACUGGUUUACCAGUUAGGCCAGUUAAACCGCUUUUAAGCCCAUGUUCGGUUAACCAUUCCAGUUCGAUUUUACUAACAGUGGUGGGUAGAGAGGGCUAGUAGAGAGAAAAGGAGAGGAAGGGUGGGUAGAGAGAGUAAAAGAGAGGGGUAUCCAAACCAUUCGAAGACGAGACGUAAGCAACCACUUCUUUUAUUUCAAUUGAGUAAAGACGGUCCACAAGUAGUCCGGUCAUCACAAUUUCAUUAUGAUUUUUCACUAUAAACUUUUUUCCAACAAAGGUAGUGAUAAAUCCAACCUUAGAUAUCUUGGAAACAGAAAUCAAGUAUUUCCUCAUUUCGGGAGCCUAAAGUGCCUGUUUUAGGAUCAACAUCUUUCCAUUCUUCAUUCAAAAGAGUAGUCCCCAACACCCAACACCUCAGUUUUUUGAUUUCCUCCUUUGAAGGUAUGUUGUUUGGCCUGCCCCACAGGAGUGAAAGUGUGGAACCCUUCUGUGGUGUUUGUCACGUGAGGCGUAGCUUUCGAGUCAAACACCACGAUGCACCAUUGAGGUCGGCCAACAAGGUUUUGAAGACCACAUAAGCAAGUUACUUGUUGGUUCUUGGAUUCUUGUUGAAUUUACAAUUCUUUGCUAUGUAACCCACCUUGUUAAAAACAAAACAAUUAUUUGUUGUGUGGCCCUUCUUCUUGCAAACAAAACAAGUUCUAGAUUCUCUUUUCUCUUUAUAUUUUUUCUUUUUAGAUCCUUGUUUAUUCUUAAAAAUGCUCUUACCCUUUCCAUUAUAAGGAUUAAAGAAAGGUUUAAAUUUUACCAUAUGUAUCGUCUCUUUCAGUGUCAGUUCUCUCAUAUUCUCCAUUGAGUGCAGUGAUUAGCUCCUCCAGCUUAGGGGCCUUUGAUCGCACCGCAACGAAAGUGAUGAAAUGUAAUAAUCCUAAAAUUUCAAAAAAAAAAAAAAAAAAGAAAAAAAAGAGAAAAAAGUGAUGGUUCAUAUGAGCAUGAUGGUCCUUAGGGACCAUCACUAUUUUCAAAAGCUUUUACCUUGAUUAAGCUUUUGCUCCUUGCCAAGUCCUUUAGUAGACGUGGUUUUCACGUAUUAAAAGCGGACUUUUACGCGACACCUCAUACAAGAGGUGGAGGCAUUUUAAAAGAAAUUAAAUGGGACGAAGGGUAAGACAUCGCCUAACAACUCCUUUCUCGCUCUCCCUCUUACAAACACAGUGAGCACCUCUCUCUAGCCGAAUUCUUAUCGGAAGCUUCCUCUCAAAUAUUUUAGGUAAGUGACUUCAUCAUCUUGAAAAAUAAUUCGUUCUUUUUAAAAAUGAAAUGAAAUAAUUAUUUUUGCUUAUUAUCAUGAAUUUUAGGCGCGAUAAGUUUUAUACGCAAUCGACUUUAUUAUUUUGAAAAAUAAUCUUUUUAAUAAAAUUGUGAUAUUUUAUCUAUGUUAGAAAUUUUAAAUGCUGUAAAUUUAUAGAAAUAAAUUUAUUUAUUUUCUUGUCUAUUGUUAGAAAAUUUUAGAUGCUGUAAAAUUAUUAAAAAUAAAUGUGAUAUUUCUACUGUUAGUAAAAUUGUGAGAUUUCUUUCUACUGUUGUUUUUGAAUAUUUACAUAUUGUAAAUUUCAUGUGCAAAUGUCUGCCUUAUUAUUUGAAAACUGAUAUUUUUCCAUUUGAUUAUAGCAUUGUCUGUGAAAUAUUUAUUUGCAAAUUGACAUCUCGUAAAUUGUGAUAAUUCCGUAUUCUUGAAUUUCUAUAAGAGUUUUUUUUUACAUAUUAGAUUGGCAAUUAUGCUAGAAUGUCUUUACGAAUUGCUACCUUUCUUUGAGCCCAAAAUAUUUGACUGGUUAUUUUAGAAUUGUUAUUGAAAGUGAUUGUUAUUAUUGGUUUCAGUGAAAUUCAUAUUAAUGAUUUCAGUGAUAUGUUGAGUACAUGAUAUUGCUACUUUCGAAUGUUUAAAGAGAUUUAGAAAUACUUUAAGUAUGCAAGUGGGCUCAUCUGGUUUGCCAGUGAGGUAUAAGUAGACCUAUCUGGGACGCCGGUAGGGAUUAAGUGGACUCAUCUGGAACGCCAGUGAGGCACGAUAAUAAUAAUUACUUCUGCUUAUUAUCAUGAAUUUUAGGCGCGAUAAAUUUUAUGCGCAUGCGACCUCAUUAUUUUGAAAAUAAUCUUUUCUAAUAAAAUUGUGAUAUUUUAUCUACUGUUAGGAAUUUUAAAUACUGUAAAUUCUUAGAAAUAAAUAUCUUAAUUUUCUUGUCUAUUGUUAGAAAAUUUUAGGUACUGUAAAAUUAUUAAAAAUAAAUGCGAUAUUUCUACUUUUAGUAAAAUUGUGAGAUUUCUUUCUACUGUUUUUGAAUAUUUCGACAAUGUAAAAUUCAUGUGCAAAUGACUGCCUUAUUAUUUGAAAACUGAUAUUUUUGCAAUUGAUUAUAGCAUUGUCCGUGAAAUGUUUAUUUACGAAUUAACACCCCAUAAAUUGUGAUAAUUCUGUAUUCUUGAAUUUUUAUAAGAGUUUUUCUAUACAUAUUAGAUUGGCAAUUAUGCUAGAAUGUCUUUACGAGCUGCUACCUUUCUAAAUUUGAGCCAAAAUUAUUUGACUGGUUAUUUUUGAAAUGUUACUGAAAGUGACUAUUAUUAAUGGCUUCAGUGAAAUUCAUAUUAAUAAUUUCAGUGAUAUGUUGAGUACAUGAUAUUGCUGAUUUCGAAUGUUUAAAGAGAUUUAAUAAUACUUUAAGUAUGCAUGUGGACUCAUCCGGUUCGUCGGUGAGGUAUAAGUGGACUAUUCGAUACGUCGGUAAGGAUUAAGUGGACUCAUCCGGUAUGCCAGUGAGGUAUAAGUGGAUCUAUCUGGGACAUCGAUAGAGAUUAAGUGGACCCAUCAAGAUGCUGAUGGGGUAUAUAGGUGACCUACUUGGGACGCCAGUAGGGUAAUUUGUGAAAUCCUUUGAAUUAUAAACUGUAAUUAAAAUGUUAUAUGCAUUUCAAUAUACUUAAUUAUGCAUUUUUUAAAGUGAAACUGUUAAUGCAUUUCUGUUAAUAGAUCUCUUUUUUAAAAAUAUUGAUAUCUUUCAACUAUGAUUAUUUUGAAGAUUAUGAUGAUCAUUUACUGAGUAGCCAACCCAUCAAAUUAUGGUAAACAUUUUUCAGGAUAACUGCGAGUUCAUUUUGAGUGCUCGUCAGGAUCAACUCUAGAAGAUAUUGUAGUUGUGCUUAAACUUUCUUUUAUUACUUUGUAAGAAUUCACCACUGUAAAUUUGUCCUAUCGAGAGAUGUAUAUAUGUUUUGACUGUCACAUAUCUGGAAUAUCAGUAUUGUAAAUUCUUGGGGCAGAACACUUAUGGUGUCAGAGCAAUAGGUUUAAGAUUCUUAGGAAUUUAAAAAUAAUGUACUUCAAAUCACAUUUAUUGCGUGUAUAGACUAGGAUUAAGUCAAGAUCCAGAAUAGCUGAAGCUAAUAUGGAAGGCAUUCACAAAGCCUUAGAAAAUAUGAUUGCUCUAAUGCAACAUCAGAUGGAACAAUUCACCCAGGCAGUCAGUUACGGGAAAUGGUGGGAGUAAUAUCAGUGAUCCAAGGUACUCUUAUUAUCUUCCAAAAAGUUGCUUAUGUUUUGAUUGGUCCUGGAUCUACUCAUUCAUUUGUGUCACCACACUUUGCAUGCCACUUAAAGGUAGAACCAGAACAAUUAGAGUACAUUCUAGAGGUAGCCACGUCGAUGGGAAAUUCAAGGGACACCAAUAUAGUAUACAAAUCCUGUGUAAUAAAGAUAGAAGAAAAGGAACUGUUGGUUGAUUUAAUACUUCUAAAAAUUCAAGAUUUUGACGUAAUCUGAAGCAUGGAUUAGCUUUCUGCAUACCAUGCAAGUAUUGAUUGUUACAAGAAAUGGUUACCUUUAGUAUUCUGGAUCAACCAGUAUCUUACUUCAAUGGUAUCAAAGAAGACUCCCCAGCAUAUUUAAUCUCCUGUAUUCAAGCUAAUCGCUUCUUUCGAAAAGGGUGUCAAGGCUUUCUUGCUUAUAUAAAAGAAGAUAGGAAGGAAGAAAUCAAUUUGGAUACCACUCCGGUUAUCCGAGAAUUUCCCGACGUUUUCCCUGAAGAAUUGCUAGGAUUAUCGCCUGACAGGGAAAUUGAAUUCUCUUUUGAUUUAUUGUCAGGGGUAGCCCCAAUUUCUAAGGCACCUUACAGAAUGGUACCUGCAGAAAUUAAAGAACUUAAUCAACAAUUGGAAGAAUUAUUAGAUAAAGGUUUCAUCAGGCCCAGUGUGUCACCUUGGGGUGCUCCGGUACUGUUUGUUAAAAAGAAAGAUGGGACCAUGAGAUUGUGUAUCGAUUAUAGACAGUUGAACUAAGUGAUAAUGAAAAAUAAGUAUCCAUUACGUAGAUUUGAUGAUUUAUUUGAUCAAUUACAAGGAUCACAAGUGUUUUAAAAAUUGAUCUUAGAUCUGGAUACCAUCAGCUUAAGAUUAUAAGUGAAGAUGUUCCGAAGACAGCUUUCAGAACAAGGUAUGGCCAUUAUGAAGUUUUAAUCAUGCCUUUUGGAUUAACCAAUGCACCAACUGCAUUUAUGGCUUUGAUGAAUCGGGUCUUUAAGCCCUUUUGGAUAAAUUUAUUGUGGUAUUCAUCGAUGAUAUUUUAAUUUAUUCCAAGAAUCAGAAGGAACAUGAGCAACAUGUAAGAAUGGUAUUGCAAAUAUUAAGAGAAAAGAAAUUGUAUGCCAAAUUUAGUAAAUGUGAAUUUUGGCUUGAACAAGUGACAUUUUUAGGACAUGUCAUAUCAAAUGAAGGUCUAUCAGUUGAUCCUUCAAAGGUUGAAGCCAUUGUUAAUUGGAAACAACCAAGUAAUGUGACUGAAGUUCGAAGCGUUUUGGGAUUGGCAGGAUAUUUCAUAAAAUUUGUAGAAGGAUUUGCUCGAAUCGCAACCCCAUUGCCUCGAUUGACACAUAAAACUGUCAAAUUUGAGUGGACAAGUGAAUGUGAGGAGAGUUUUUAAGAUCUAAAAGUUCGAUUAACUUCAGCACCUAUUUUAACUAUUCCUGAAGGGAGUGGGGCAUUUGUGAUUUAUAGUGAUACUUCAUAUAAAGGCUUGGGCUGUGUAUCAAUGCAAUAUGGGAAAGUAGUUGCAAAUGCAUCCAGACAAUUGAAAGAAUAUGAGAAAAAAUAUCCAAUUCAUGACUUGGAGCUAACUGCAAUACUAUUCGCUUUGAAAAUGUGGAGGCAUUAUCUAUAUGGACGCCAGUAGGGUAAUUUGUGAUAUCCUUUGAAUUAUACACUGCGGUUAAAUGUUAUAUGCAUUUCAAUAUACUUAAUUAUGCAUUUUGGAAAGUGAAACUAUUAAUGCACUUAUGUUACUAGAUCUCCUUUUGAAAAAUAUUGAUAUCUUUCAAACAUGAUUAUUUUUAAGAUUAUGAUGAUCACUUAUUGAGUAGCCAAACUCAUCAAAUUAUUGCAAACAUUUUUCAGGAUAACUGCGGUUUCAUUUUGAGUGCUCGUCAAGAUCAACUCUGGAAGAUAUUGUAGUUGUGCUUAAACUUUUUUUUGUUACUUUAAACGAAUUUGCCACCGUAAAUUUGUCCUAUCAAGAGAUGUGUAUAUGUUUUGACUGUCACAUCUCAGGAAUGUCAAUAUUAGAAAUUCUUGGGGCAUGACAGUUGAGGUCCUCGCCGCUGUUCUAUUGCUUGCUGGUUAUCGCCUCCGAUCGAUGGUUGCCCUCCAGUUUGUGCUCGCUUUGCUAGGCUUCGUGUAUCCCCUAUGGCAUCAUCGAGUAGCAAGAAAGGUCCAUCCCAUAGGUCAACCUUUGCCCCGCUUAAUAUCAAUCCGCUGGCCUUGGUGGUGGUGGAUGAGGCGGUCGAUCCUAUUUUAGUGAUGGAAGAGGGAGAGCUGGAGUUUCCACCUGAUGCUGUGCUAGAAGACAGAGGAGGGGCUGAGGGGCCUAAGCUUGCAAUGGUGGAAGUUGAAGCAAAUGUGCCCCUUAAUGUGCUUCAUACUGAAGACCGGCCACUGCUCCUUCGUCUGACAACAACGUCUUAUGGAGAUUCUAUCUUGGCCCCUGAUGUGAUUUCUUCUCCUUUACUGUCUCCUGAGGGCGUUGUACAAGAUCAGUGUUGGGUUAGGGUUGGUUCUAUUGUUCAUUAUAGCGGGAUGGAUUUUGAUGUGCCCAUUGGGGUUGUGUUCAAGGACAUUGUUGAGAAACUUAGAGAGGGGAAUGCAGCGAAGAAUGACUUCUGUGAAGGGAAGGUGAACAUAUGUGAUGUAGGGAAGAAGGAUGUCUAUGCUGGUGAGAUGUCCCCUUCUAAGGAGGUCGUUAGAAAAAAGAAGAAGGGAAAGACUCCAAUGAAGGGCAUUAGAUAGUCUGCUCAGCUAUUGGCUCGGGGUCAUUCUCCUAGUGCUGCUUUAGGAAUUGUCAUUCAUGAUGAAUAGGUGAUUGAAGUUAGUUCCUCUCCUUCCUCGUCAUCUUUGGAAGUAGCUUUUAAUGAGGCUAUGGAGGAUGCACUGAUGCAGGAAGAGACCUAUUUUGGCACCAGCAGGGAUGGGUCAGGCUCUUCCCUCUCUCAACCUUUUUAAUGUUGGUGCUUUCUCGGAAUUUAAGAGGUUUGAAGACCUCAGAAGUAAGAAAGACAUCUUUUUUUUUGUUUGCAAGUAUAAGCCUUAUGUACUUAUUCUAUAGGAAACUAAACUUCCCAGUCCCAAUUCAUCUGGGACUGGGGAGGUGUGGGGUCCUGGAGUAGUCGACUUUGUGGUGGGGCCUUUGGGGGACUGUGGAUCCUACAGGAUCUUGUGGGUCUAGAAGAUGAUUUUCAGUGCGGUUUGAUGAAUGUUUACAGUCCCCAUAUUUCUGCUCAAAAGGAAAGUUUCUUUAUUGAUAUGUCUGAUGUUAUUUCUCAGUUUGAUUAUCCUCUAUGCAUUGGGGGGGAUUUUAAUUUCACUAGGUGGCCAGAAGAGAGUUCUCAUGGUGGGGGAUUACUGCUGCUAUGCGCCUUUUUAACCGUUUGAUAGAGUCCCAUGCUUUGAUUGAUCUGCCCAUUUUUGGCACGACUUUUACUUUGACUAAUGGAAGUAUCUCUAACUUGUCAAUGUCUAGGAUUGACAGGUUUAUAGUGUCUGGAGAGUGGUUUGAAUUGUUUCCCUUAGCAUCUGUCAAAGCUCUCCCUAGACUUUCUUCUGAUCAUAUUCCUAUGUUACUAUCAUCUAAAAUUUGGUCGGAGGGUCCUAAACCUUUCAGGAUGGAAAUAGGGUGGCAAAAGGAAAAGGAAGUGGUUGAGCUAAUAAGUACUUGGGAGAAUUCUAUUUCAUUUGGUUAUUUAGACUUCCAAAUAUAUAAGAAGCUCCUGAAUAUUAAACAUAAGCUUAUGGAUUGGAAAUAGUUAAGUACUUUUAUGUCAAAAAUAAGAUUGAUGUUGUUUUGAAAUGUAUAGAGGAGGCGCUGAUGAAGCUAUGCAACAGUCUGGGGUUUUAUCAGAGGAGCUGGCUAUGGCAAGAAGUGUCAAAGUGAAUGAGCUUCAGGAGCUUAGAAAAGUGAAUGUGUUGAAAACAAAGAUCUAGGGUUAAAUGGUUGAAUGAGGGAGAUUUGAACACCACAUUCCUUCACGCCAUAACUAAUGCUCGAAGAUGUCAAAAUGAUAUUUCUGGUCUCUUAAUUCAGAGAAGUUUCUAAUCAUGUAUUUGGGAAUGCCAAUCUCGGAUGGCCGACUACCAAUUGUGGUUUGGGACAAAAUUCUUUAGUGAAUCCAAGUGAAGCUUGACUUAUGGAAAUUAAGUAUCUCUCAUUUGGGGGUAGGAUUACUCGGAUUAAGACAUGCUUGUCGCACUUACGUAUAUAUCAGAUGUCAAUCCUACAAAUCAUUUUUUCGGUGGCUAGGAGAAUUGAAUUGAUGAUGAGGAACUUUCUAUGGGGGUCCUCCUUGGAGACGAAGAAAUUUCAUCUUCUUCGAUGGGAUAGAGUGUGCACGCCCAAAAAGGAGGGCAGUCUUCGGAUUAGGAAAAUUAUUGUUGUUAACCAAGCCUUGCUCUGUAAAUGGUGGUGGAGGAGUUUAACUUUCAAAGAUCAUCUAUAGUACAAAGUUAUCGCUUCGAAGUAUGGAGAGGACAUAUUUGGUAUGUGGGUGGGUAAAAGAAAUGGCGUUUGGGGAAUGUCUUCAUGCUGGAGAUCGAUUUAUAAUUGUAAAGCCUUGAUUCAUAAAGACAUUUGUUGGACCUUAAGCAAUAGCACCAAUAUUUCAUUUUGGCAUCAUAAGUGGUUGGGGGAUGCUCCUUUGAAACUAGUUUUUUCUUUGAUUUUCUAAAGAAUGGCUAACCCUAAUGAUGUAGUCUUUAAUCUCUAUGAGCGUAGGGGCGAUCAUAUACUUUUGGAAUAUCAACCUUAUAAUAGGAUUCAUGAUUCUCUCUUUUUUGAACUCUUUGGAUGAGGUUAAUAUCCCUCAUAAUACUGAGGAUGAGGCUGUUUGGGAGAUCGAUAAGGAUGGAGAUUAUUCGGUGAAGUCUAUGUACCAGCUGCUCUUCCACAAUAGGUGGCGGUGGUCUUGGCCUGCAUUUGUCAUCGUUUGGAGGUGGCCUUUACCUCUUAAGGUGCAAGGUUUUUUAUGGAUGACUGUUCAAAAUAAGGUGCUGACGGUAAAUAAUCUUAUCAAGAGAGGAAGAAUAUUGCCAAAUGUAUUUCUUCUGUGUGAGGAUGGGGAAUCUGAAGAUCAUCUUUUUUUGCACUGUUCUUUUACCUAUUAUAUUUGGAGUAGGUUCUUUGACCUGCUUGGGAUUGCGAUGGUAAUGCCACCAAGUAUUGUAGGUAUUUUACAAAAUUUAGCGAUAGACUUACCUCGAACUGGCGUUAUUAUUUGGCAAAUCACAAGAAGCGUAAUUUUAUGGGAAAACUGAAAAGAGAGGAAUAGAAGAUUGUUUGACGGGGAUUAGCUUGCCUUUUGAGAUAAUAUGGGAGAAAAUUUUGCAUGCUAUUUGAUUAUAUCUGUCAUUUACCAAAGUUGGCCAAGAUAUUCGGAUUUGGAUGUUAGGAGAAAUUUUAAGAUUUUGUUUCAGCUGGGUUUUUUGAAUUGCAGAUCGAAAGGAAGAUGGGUGACCCCGGUCUUUGGGGUAUUCAAGACAAACUUUGAUGGCAGUUCGUUAGGAAAUCUGGGUCCUGCGGGAUUUGGUGGUGUGCUUAGGGAUUGGCUGGGGAAUGUUAUCUUUUCUUAUGCUAGUCAUAUUGGGGUGCGUACUGCUAAUUAUGUUGAACUAUAUGCACUUUUAUAUGGCUUAAGUAUCUUUGCGGCAAGAAACUUGGGGCAUUACUGCGUCCUAGAAGGUGAUUCCAUGAACGUCAUCAAAUGGUGUAAAGGGGAGCAGAAGUUGCCUUGGGAGUUCAAAUAUCUGUUUCUUCAAAUCUUUGACCUCUCUAGUCCCUUUUCCUUUUCUUUUAAUAAUGUAUAUAGAGAAGCGAAUGUUAUGGCUAAUUCUCUUGCUAAAGGGGGUUCUCUCCUCACUGAGACUCUUGUCUCUGACUCUGUAAUUUCAUUUUAGUUUAAUAGAAUAGUGGAAUUUCGAUAAUAAAAAAAAAGGAUUGCGAAAAAAUUAAUCCUUUAUUGGAAAACUUAUUUCACCACAUCAUUAAUUUUAAGAUGCCUUUUUCACUACUUUGAUGCGAUUUUAUUUAAGCACAAUGUAAGACCAAAUGUCAAAUGCUUAAUAUUUUAUUAAGAAAAACAAUAUGACUAGGUCCUAAUUACUCCUAGCCAUUAAAUUCAUUUGGGGUGUCACACAAUAUUCAAUUUUAUUUUUUUUGGACUCUGAGUCUAACCAAAGCUACCCGAUUUUUAGAACUGAUGGAUAAUGAUUCUGACCUCCUUGUACUGAAAAUAAAUAAUUUACUUUUUAUUGUAUUUAUAAAGUAUUUUUUUAGCCCAAUAAACAUAAGUCGUUCAUUUUGGUGAGAUGUUAGAUCUAGGCCUUAAAAGGAUUUUUUCAUUUAUAAUUUUUUUGGAUGGCUUUAUUAUCAUUAGAUGAACAAUGUGAAAAAAGAAAGAAAUGAUUUUGAGUUUAUAAAGGCCAAGACCUUGAAAUUCACUAAAUUAAUAGUUUAGAUUCGUUUUUGGAGGGACUCAUUUUGACCAUAUCUAGGUUUGAAAUUGAUUGUUAUUGUUUUGAUUGAUUAUUGAGAUGAAGAGAGUGUGUAUGCAAAAUUUUGUGUCAUACAAAUACCACAAACAUGAUUUUCUAGCAGAGUCAUGAGAUAAUAUUGUGAUACAACCAUUACAUGAAAUCACUGCCCUAAUAUCAAUAUUUAUUUCUCAACCCUUAAGACACCCAACAACUAUAUCGGUGUUCUUAUAAAAGUCCUACAAAAGCAAUACUAAGAAAGGAUCCCAAGCGUCAAACCAUAAAGGGAUAAUUAUUGGUCCCGUAGCAAACACAAGAAGAGAGCGCGCUCUUAUUGAGGAAGCUUGUUGAUCUUACGAUGCUAGAAGUCCUUGAAGGUUUUAGUUGAAAACAAUGGUGGAUUAGUCUCGUUUAGGAGGUGGGAAAGAGGCCCAAUGAUUUUGUCUGGUGGAGGCACGAAAAACACUGCCCAUGACAUACAUGUUUCGUCCUUGCUCACCAAGCUCCUGUGGAGAACGCUUUUGUAUCUUCCAUUGCUCAACAC